UAAUCUCACUCCACCGACUUUUGUUGAUGGAUGUGGACCUGGACUCUGUUGUGUUACUACAACUGGUCUGAAAUGCCUGAGUGCAUCCUGCUGUUGCAGCGUUUUCAGUGUGAUAAGCAUCUUCACUGGAUCAAGUUCCCUUGGGACACGUAUGCAUUGUGGGCUCUGUGCUGCAAACCGUCUUUGGACAAGCUUGACA
rnacentral:misc_RNA from 1 species